rnacentral:rRNA from 1 species
CAGCAGCCGCGGUAAUACGGAGGAUGCGAGCGUUAUCCGGAUUUAUUGGGUUUAAAGGGUGCGUAGGCGGAUUAAUAAGUCAGUGGUGAAAACCUUCAGCUUAACUGGAGACCUGCCAUUGAUACUGUUAGUCUUGAGUACGGUCAAGGUAGGCGGAAUGUGUAAUGUAGCGGUGAAAUGCUUAGAUAUUACACAGAACACCGAUUGCGAAGGCAGCUUACUGGGCCAUUACUGACGCUGAUGCACGAAAGCGUGGGGAGCGAACAGGAUUAGAUACCCUGGUAGUCCACGCCGUAAACGAUGAUCACUCGCUGUUAGCGAUACACAGUUAGCGGCUAAGCAAAAGCAUUAAGUGAUCCACCUGGGGAGUACGGCCGCAAGGCUGAAACUCAAAGGAAUUGACGG